ACGGAGGGUGCAAGCGUUGUUCGGAAUUAUUGGGCGUAAAGGGCGUGUAGGUGGCUGUCCAAGUCUGGUGUGAAAGCCCACGGCUCAACCGUGGAACUGCAUUGGAAACUGGAUAGCUCGAGUAUUGGAGGGGGUCGCGGAAUUCCCGGUGUAGAGGUGAAAUUCGUAGAUAUCGGGAGGAACACCAGUGGCGAAGGCGGCGACCUGGCCAUUUACUGACACUGAGACGCGAAAGCGUGGGGAGCAAACAGGAUUAGAUACCCUGGUAGUCCACGCCGUAAACGAUGGGUGCUAGCCAUAUCGGGUGUUGACCCUUAGGUGUGGCGAAGCUAACGCGUUAAGCACCCCGCCUGGGGAGUACGGUCGCAAGAUUA
rnacentral:rRNA from 1 species